rnacentral:rRNA from 1 species
UACGAAGGGGGCUAGCGUUGUUCGGAAUUACUGGGCGUAAAGGGCGCGUAGGUUGUGCUGUAAGUCAGGCGUGAAAGGCCCGGGCUCAACCUGGGAACUGCGCUUGAUACUGGCCGACUAGAGUACGAGAGAGGGAGGUAGAAUUCCAUGUGUAGCGGUGAAAUGCGCAGAUAUCAGGAGGAACACCGGUGGCGAAGGCGGGUCUCUGGGCCGAUACUGACGCUGAGGAGCGAAAGCGUGGGGAGCAAACAGG